UACAGAGGUCUCAAGCGUUGUUCGGAUUCAUUGGGCGUAAAGGGUGCGUAGGCGGCGCGGUAAGUCGGGUGUGAAAUCUUGGAGCUUAACUCCGAAACUGCAUUCGAUACUGCCGUGCUUGAGGACUGGAGAGGAGACUGGAAUUUACGGUGUAGCGGUGAAAUGCGCAGAUAUCAGGAGGAACACCGGUGGCGAAGGCGGGUCUCUGGGCCGAUACUGACGCUGAGGAGCGAAAGCGUGGGGAGCGAACGGG
rnacentral:rRNA from 1 species